ACGGGUGAGUAAUGCAUCGGGACCUACCUGAACGUGGGGGAUAACGUAGGGAAACUUACGCUAAUACCGCAUACGUCCUACGGGAGAAAGCGGGGGACCUUCGGGCCUCGCGCGGUCAGACGGACCGAUGUUCGAUUAGCUAGUUGGUAAGGUAACGGCUUACCAAGGCGACGAUCGAUAGCUGGUCUGAGAGGAUGAUCAGCCACACUGGAACUGAGACACGGUCCAGACUCCUACGGGAGGCAGCAGUGGGGAAUAUUGGACAAUGGGCGCAAGCCUGAUCCAGCAAUGCCGCGUGUGUGAAGAAGGCCUUCGGGUUGUAAAGCACUUUUAUCAGGAGCGAAAUACUACCGGUUAAUAACCGGUGGGGCUGACGGUACCUGAGGAAUAAGCACCGGCUAACUUCGUGCCAGCAGCCGCGGCAAUACGAAGGGUGCAAGCGUUAAACGGAAUUACUGGGCGUAAAGGGUGCGUAGGCGGUUAGUUAAGUCUGUCGUGAAAUCCCCGGGCUCAACCUGGGAAUGGCGAUGGAUACUGGCUAGCUAGAGUGUGUCAGAGGAUGGUGGAAUUCCCGGUG
rnacentral:rRNA from 1 species